UACGGGGGGGGCAAGCGUUGUUCGGAAUUACUGGGCGUAAAGGGCGCGUAGGCGGCCUGCUAAGUCGGACGUGAAAUCCCCUGGCUCAACCAGGGAACUGCGUCCGAUACUGGCGGGCUUGAAUCCGGGAGAGGGAUGCGGAAUUCCAGGUGUAGCGGUGAAAUGCGUAGAUAUCUGGAGGAACACCGGUGGCGAAGGCGGCAUCCUGGACCGGCAUUGACGCUGAUGAGCGAAAGCCAGGGGAGCAAACGGG
rnacentral:rRNA from 1 species